UUCUCAAAAAGUUCAACGAAUAAAUAAACAAAUGCAAAAAAUAUUGAAGGUGGCUUCUCUAAUAGGAUACCGAUUUCCAGAGAAUUUGGU
rnacentral:sRNA from 1 species